rnacentral:misc_RNA from 1 species
GAUGAAGAACGCAGCGAAAUGCGAUAAGUAGUGUGAAUUACAGAAUUCAGUGAAUCAUCGAAUCUUUGAACGCACAUUGCGCCCCUUGGUAUCCCGAGGGGCAUGCCUGUUCGAGCGUCAUUUCACCACUCAAGCCUGGCUUGGUGUUGGGCGACGUCCCCUUUGGGGACGCGCCUCGAAACGCUCGGCGGCGUGGCACCGGCUUUAAGCGUAGCAGAAUCUUUCGCUUUGGAAGUCGGGGCCCCGUCUGCCGGAAGACCUACUCGCAAGGUUGACCUCGGAUCAGGCAGGGAUACCCGCUGAACUUAAGCAUAUCAAUAAGCGGAGGA